UACGUAGGGUGCGAACGUUGUUCGGAAUCACUGGGCAUAAAGGGCGCGUAGGCGGUCCGGUCAGUCAAGUGUGAAAUCCCUCGGCUCAACCGAGGAACCGCACUUGAUACUGCCGGGCUAGAGUGCAGGAGGGGAGAGCGGAAUUCCUGGUGGAGCGGUGAAAUGCGUAGAUAUCAGGAGGAACGCCGGUGGCGAAAGCGACUCUCUGGUCUGCAACUGACGCUGAGGCGCGAAAGCUAGGGGAGCAAAC
rnacentral:rRNA from 1 species